UGGGGAAUAUUGCACAAUGGAGGGAACUCUGAUGCAGCAACGCCGCGUGCGGGAUGACGGCCUUCGGGUUGUAAACCGCUUUCAGCCAUGACGAAGCUUUUGUGACGGUAGUGGUAGAAGAAGCACCGGCUAACUACGUGCCAGCAGCCGCGGUGAUACGUAGGGUGCGAGCGUUGUCCGGAAUUAUUGGGCGUAAAGAGCUUGUAGGCGGUUUGUCGCGUCGAUAGUGUAAACACGCAGCUUAACUGUGUGCCUGCUGUCGAUACGGGCUGACUAGAGGAGGGUAGGGGAGAAUCGAAUUCCCGGUGGAGCGGUGGAAUGCGCAGAUAUCGGGAGGAACACCAGUGGCGAAGGCGGUUCUCUGGACCUUUCCUGACGCUGAGAAGCGAAAGCGUGGGUAGCAAACAGG
rnacentral:rRNA from 1 species